AUACACAUUUCUUUCACCUGCUUUCUUCUGUAUAUGUGAGCUGUGUUAUUUCUCAUGUGGUAUACAAACAUUUGAAGAUUAAUUAGCAGAAUAACUAUAAAUAGUAACGCUGCCAGUCUCCUUCAGACAAGA
rnacentral:snoRNA from 1 species